rnacentral:rRNA from 1 species
CCCUUAGAUGUUCUGGGCCGCACGCGCGCUACACUGAUGCAUUCAACGAGUCUAAAACCUGGUCUGAUAGGGCUGGGUAAUCUUUUGAAUGUGCAUCGUGAUUGGGAUAGAUGAUUGCAAUUCUUCAUCUUCAACGAGGAAUGCCUAGUAAACGCAAGUCAUCAGCUUGCAUUGAUUGCGUCCCUGCCCUUUGUACACACCGCCCGUCGCUCCUACCGAUUGAAUGUUCCGAAGAAUACCAUGGACUGAGAGUAUGAAUGGGUUCGCCUAUUUCUGCUUCUCGGGAAGUGGAGUAAAUCUUAACAUUUAGAGGAAGGAGAAGUCGUAACA